GCGUCGGCCCUUCGCGUUUGUGAGCCGUGAACUCCGCCAGGCCCGGAAGGGAGCAACGGCAGCGGUGUAGCGAAGCGCCGGAGUAAGUCGGCGCGAA
rnacentral:SRP_RNA from 1 species